CACAACAGUCCAGGCAUGGUGGCUCAUGCCUGUAAUCCCAGCUACUUAGAAGUCUGAAGAGGGAGGAGCAGCUGAGCCCAGGUGUUCGAGGCUGCAGGGGGCCAUGAUCAUGCCACGGCACUCCAGCCUGAAUGACAGAGCAAGAUCUCAUCUCUGAAUAUAUACAUAUAUAAUGACUAUUAACGAAUGUUACAAUGCAUAUGUGCAUAGGAACUGCUUUACACAGAUCUCAUUUACCGCCUCAGCAGCCCUACAAAGAGGUGCUGCUAUUUUUGUUAGCUUAUAUUAAGAUGAGAAGCCAGAAGCUUGGUGGCGUUGAAUCCCUUGCACAAGGAUGUCAGGCUAGUGACUGGCAGAAGCAGAACUUAGGCCUGGCAAUGGGACUUGGUGUAUUCGCAGUGGAGGCUCAGAGAGGUUGUGAAAUUUGGCCAAGGUCACACAGCCAGUCUAUGCGAGAAGAAAGAGCUUGGACCCUUAGCUGUCUGGUUCCAACUCAGCUGCUGUGCCCUCAGCUUUUUCUGGUAUGUAGAUAGAGGGUGGGACUGGCAUUGCUUGGGACAGUCCCUAACCUGGGACAGGUAAGUAAAAGUACUAAAUAAUAAAUGCUCUGGCACCCUGACCAGGAUUCGCCCUAGAGCCCAGGUGGGGGGAAUCGGACCCUUCCCUGGGUAUCAUGUGGGGAACACACCACUUCUGGCUGCUUACUGUUUACUUAUUCACAGCCUGCGAUGGUAUCACACCUGCGCAUCUCCGCAGGGCUGACACGUCGCUGCACCCAGGCGGAGAGAAUGAGCAGAACGGCCCGCGGGCGGCAGAGCCUGGACAAACAGAGACCGACAAGCCUGUGCAGCCUUGGACCAUUUUGCUUGAAACGAAGAAAUCGACAACGAAAGGAAAAAAUGUAGGACAGAGCCCAGAUUCCAAUGAGACUCGGGCUGACCCUCACCAGCUCAUGGCCCGGAAAUUUCCUUCCUUCCACAUUUUCUUGUCCAGACUUGGAAGCCAGCAGUCACAUUGACCGAAUCUGUCAUGUACUGUACGGUCUGGGACACGUCAUUCAAUUUCUCUGAGACUCAGAUUUCUCAGCUGUAAAUGGGGAAGUUAUUUGUAAGGUUGAACAAACAAUUAAAUGGGAGCAUGUAUAUAACGUGUUUUAGCCUGGCGCUGGCAUACAUGGG
rnacentral:lncRNA from 13 species